CCACUCUGGCCCCCGCGGGAGACAUGUUAGGUAGUGGGAUGCCAACCUUGCCACUCUUCUGAGACCGCCACCCAGUAACACGCCCUGCUUUCCUCCGCCGCCGCCGUCUCCUCCAUCAACCGUCUCCUUCUAACAUGUUAUUGCAGUUAAUAAAAAAGCGCUCUUUUCUUCACAAAAGCAGUUGUUUCAUUGUAUAAUGUGAGAAGUCUGCGUUCAGGCGGUUAGACGCAAAGGAGUGGAAUAAGUGCCCUGUUCAGUCUGCCAACCUUCGGAACCAGCCAACAGACUCGGUACUGACUGCCAUGAUCCAGUAAGCACCCGACUCGGGUCUCUGGCAGCCUGAGUGGAUUUUGCGUGACUUUUGGUCCCUGGCGGCUCCUGUAGCGUCCCCAGUUACGGCGCCCAUAGCAACCGGCUCCCUAGCUAGGCGCCCCCGGGUUGCCAAGGGCCGCACCAGCUUUCCCGCCCCGGGCCAGCGCAGGCGCUCAGGCCUCGGAGGCGGGGCGAUGGCCACCUCCCACCGAGUGGCGAAGCUGGUGGCCUCCAGUCUCCAGACCCCGGUAAAUCCCAUCACUGGAGCGCGGGUCGCCCAGUACGAACGCGAAGACCCCUUAAAGGCCCUGGCGGCAGCGGAGGCGAUCUUGGAGGACGAAGAGGAGGAGAAAGUGGCGCAGCCCGCUGGGGCAUCGGCUGAUUUGAACACCAGCUUUUCUGGGGUAGAUGAACAUGCACCUAUAAGCUAUGAGGACUUUGUGAAAUUUCCUGAUAUUCACCACUCUAAUGAGGAGUAUUUCAAGAAAGUAGAAGAGUUGAAGGCUGCCCACAUAGAAACUAUGGCAAAAUUAGAGAAAAUGUACCAGGAUAAAUUACAUUUAAAGGAAGUUCAGCCAGUGGUCAUCAGAGAAGACUCUCUUAGUGACUCUUCCAGAUCUGUAUCAGAAAAGAACUCCUAUCACCCUGUCUCAUUAAUGACAUCAUUUUCAGAGCCUGAUUUAGGCCAGUCUUCCUCCUUGUAUGUGUCCUCCUCUGAAGAGGAGUUACCCAACCUAGAAAAAGAGUAUCCUAGGAAAAACAGAAUGGUGACCUAUGCUAAGGAGCUCAUCAACAACAUGUGGACAGACUUUUGUGUUGAGGAUUAUAUUCGCUGUAAAGAUACUGGCUUCCAUGCAGCUGAAAAAACAAGGAAGAAACGAAAAGAAUGGGUGCCCACAAUUACAGUACCGGAGCCUUUUCAAAUGAUGAUAAGAGAACAGAAGAAGAAAGAAGAGUCCAUGAAAUCUAAAUCAGAUAUCGAAAUGGUACAUAAACUGCUCAAAAAACAAGAAGAGGAUCCAGAGUGUAAGAAGAAAUUCCGAGCCAAUCCAGUUCCUGCAUCUGUCUUUCUCCCCCUUUACCAUGAUUUAGUCAAACAAAAAGAAGAACGGAGAAGGUCUCUGAAGGAGAAAAACAAAGAAGCUCUUUUGGCCUCACAAAAGCCAUUUAAAUUUAUAGCAAGGGAGGAACAGAAGCGAGCAGCCCGGGAAAAGCAGCUGAGAGACUUUCUUAAGUAUAAAAAGAAAACAAAUCGAUUUAAAGCCAGACCCAUUCCUCGAUCUACUUAUGGUUCAACUACCAAUGACAAGUUAAAAGAAGAAGAGCUCUAUCGAAACCUUAGGACACAGCUGAGAGCCCAGGAGCAUUUACAGAACUCAUCUCCUCUGCCUUGUAGGUCAGCUUGCGGAUGCAGGAACCCCAGGUGUCCUGAACAGGCUGUAAAGUUGAAGUGUAAACACAAGGUUAGGUGCCCAGCUCCUGAUUUUGAGGACCUUCCUGAGAGAUACCAGAAACACCUCUCAGAACACAAGUCUCCAAAACUCUUAACAGUGUGUAAACCAUUUGAUCUUCAUGCAUCUCCACAUGCAUCUAUUAAAAGAGAAAAAAUUUUGGCAGACAUCGAAGCAGAUGAAGAAAAUUUAAAAGAAACACGUUGGCCUUAUUUGUCUCCAAGGCGUAAGUCACCAGUAAGAUGUGCAGGUGUAAACCCUGUGCCUUGUAACUGCAACCCUCCAGUGCCCACGGUAUCUUCCAGAGGACGAGAACAAGCCGUAAGGAGAUCACUUGAGGAAAAGAAAAUGUUGGAAGAAGAGAGAAAUCGGAUCCUAACUAAACAGAAGCAAAGAAUGAAAGAAUUGCAGAAACUCCUGACAACCCGGGCUAAGGCUUAUGACUCACAUCAAAGUUUAGCUCAAAUAUCUAAAUCCAGAGUAAAAUGUCUCAGAAAGAGCGAAAAGGAAAGGAUGAGAGAAUACCAACGAGAACUAGAAGAAAGAGAAGAAAAAUUAAAAAAGAGGCCACUGCUAUUUGAAAGAGUUGCUCAGAAUAAACUAUGUUGUCCUGUUUCUUGGAAAUCACAGGAUUAAUUAACUGAGAAGAUGUUAAAUUGAAUUUUAAACCAAAGUCAGAUGAAGGUUUACUGGCACAAAUUUUGACUAAUGUCUUUUUAAUGUCUUAUAUAUUUAAUUUGCUGAAGUCAGAAUAUACUGUUGGUAAUGCAUUCAGAGAAAAAUGCAAGAAUGGCAGCAGAAAAGCAUUAUUCUAAUACCCUAAAAGCACUAGGAAUAUCUGAUGAGUUUGUUUCAAAGAAAGGCCAAAGUGGAAAAGUACUUGAGUACUUCAACAAUCAAGAGACGAAAAGUGUCACUGAAGACAAAGAAAGCUGUAAUGAAGAAGAAAAAAUAGAAGAAAGAGAGAAUGGGGAAGAAAAUUAUUUUAUUGAUACCAACAGCCAGGAUUCUUACAAGGAAAAAGAUGAAGCCAAUGAGGAAAGUGAAGAAGAGAAAUCUGUUGAAGAAUCACACUGAAUCAUCAAGGUCUCCUCUCUAUGCCCUUGCUGUUGUUUGCAGCGUCAGGGUGUCAGCAGCCGCAUUUGUGUUUAGAACAUCUGUGGGGACGCCUCUGAUAUGUGCAGGGCUGUUGAUCAAAGUCAUCUGUAGCCUGAAAAGCCUGAAUCCAGCUGAUUGGUCAUUUGAUCAGUUAGAGUAAGGCUUUGCCUAUUCAGUUUUAAAAAUCAUUGUGUAUUAUCUGUUUGCAACUAUGAUUUUGUAUUUUUAAAAAGUGAGAACCACAGCUGUCACAAACUGAUUAGUUAUAAAAAUAUACAUUAUUUCAUUAAUUUUACUGGAAAAAAUGGCUUAGUGUUGAAAGGAGAGAGAAGUAUUGGUCUUUGGUGAUUUACUUUUUAAAAAUUUUGGAAAGUGUGAAUCAAUAACUAUUUUUAAUUAUACUAUUUGCCCAUUCUUUUUCUCUGCAGUGCAUUUCACAGAAUAAAUCCUCUAACUUGUUUUGCUGCUCUGAGCCAUUUUUAAAAGUCUAGAAAAAAGGCCAGGUAUGGUGGCUCAUGCCUGUAAUCCCAGCACUUUGGGAGGCCGAGGCGGGUGGAUCACGAGGUCAGGAGAUCGAGACAAUCCUGGCUAACACGAUGAAACCCCGUCUCUACUAAAAAUACAAAAAAUUAGCCAGGCGUGGUGGUGGGCGCCUGUAGUCCCAGCUACUUGGGAGGCAGAGGCAGGAGAAUGGCAUGAACCCAGGAGGCAGAGCUUGCAGUGAGCCGAGAUCGCGCCACUGCACUCCAGCCUGGGCAACAGAGCGAGACUCCGUCUCCAAAAAAAAAAAAAAAAAGUAUAGAAAAAAAUGAAUACUUGCAAAUUUACAUUUAUUUUUGCACUGAGAGUUUACUGUUAAAUUGUCUACACCAUCAUCCCUUUUUCUUUUUAUCCUUAGUUCCAGUCCAAAUUAUUUUUGAUAUGUAAAUUAUUAGGAAAGUUUUUAUACUAGUUUUUUUAACCCUAUGUAUUAUUACAGAUGGAAGUAAUUAUGGCAUGUGUGAGUUAUAAUCUAAAUUAGGGGCAAGUAUCCCUGUUUUUUAUAUGAUGAAAUUGUGCAUAAUAACUUGGCUAGGGCAAGUCUCCAAAGUAAUUCAGAUUUAAUUCUUCACUGCUAGACCCAGUUGUGUUCAACUUUUUACAUAUUAUUGCCAACACACUUUAUCUCUCUGUGUACAGUGUUAAUCUGAUUUUAUAAAUCUAUAUUUUUUUCUUUAAGCAAAUUUUUGUUUUAAAAUUCGAAGCCAAUCAUAAAGAUAAUAUAGCAUAAGACAUUUUCUUUUCUAAAAACAAUCAGCAUCAUUUUAAAAGGAUGAACUAAUACAGGUGUAUGUAAUAGCAGUGUUUCCAAACUGGCAAUUUAUGCUUUACAUUUAAAAAUAAGGUCAUUUUUCUCCAUCAGGGGCAAAUGUUUACUUGUAAUUUUCUUCCUACAGUUCGUGUUAAAUUACUUUUUACUAUUAUUAUAUUGUAAACUCCUUGGGAUUUGGCACCAUUUAAAAAUUCAUCUUUGUAUUCCCUUAAUAUUUGAAACAGUAUUGUACAUAUGGUAGGUACUUAAUAAAGGUUUGAAUGAGUGUGUAGA